UCGGAAUCGCUAGUAAUCGCGGAUCAGCAUGCCGCGGUGAAUACGUUCCCGGGCCUUGUACACACCGCCCGUCACACCAUGAGAGUCGGGAACACCCGAAGUCCGUAGCCUAACAGCAAUGAGGGCGCGGCCGAAGGUGGGUUCGAUAAUUGGGGUGAAGUCGUAACAAGGUACC
rnacentral:rRNA from 1 species